UACGUAGGGUGCGAGCGUUAAUCGGAAUUACUGGGCGUAAAGCGUGCGCAGGCGGUUUGCUAAGACAGGUGUGAAAUCCCCGGGCUUAACCUGGGAACUGCGCUUGUGACUGGCAGGCUAGAGUACGGCAGAGGGGGGUGGAAUUCCUGGUGUAGCAGUGAAAUGCGUAGAUAUCAGGAGGAACACCGAUGGCGAAGGCAGCCCCCUGGGCCUGUACUGACGCUCAUGCACGAAAGCGUGGGGAGCAAACAGGAUUAGAUACCCCCGUA
rnacentral:rRNA from 1 species